AGUCGAACGGCAGCGGGGGCUUCGGCCUGCCGGCGAGUGGCGAACGGGUGAGUAAUGCAUCGGAACGUACCCAGUCGUGGGGGAUAACUACGCGAAAGCGUAGCUAAUACCGCAUACGCCCUGAGGGGGAAAGCGGGGGACCUUCGGGCCUCGCGCGAUUGGAGCGGCUGAUGUCGGAUUAGCUAGUUGGUGGGGUAAAGGCCUACCAAGGCGACGAUCCGUAGCUGGUCUGAGAGGAUGAUCAGCCACACUGGGACUGAGACACGGCCCAGACUCCUACGGGAGGCAGCAGUGGGGAAUUUUGGACAAUGGGCGCAAGCCUGAUCCAGCCAUGCCGCGUGAGUGAAGAAGGCCUUCGGGUUGUAAAGCUCUUUCAGACGGAAAGAAAUCGGGCGCGUGAAUAGCGUGCCUGGAUGACGGUACUGUCAGAAGAAGCACCGGCUAACUACGUGCCAGCAGCCGCGGUAAU
rnacentral:rRNA from 1 species